rnacentral:rRNA from 1 species
UGGGGAAUAUUGGACAAUGGGCGCAAGCCUGAUCCAGCAAUGCCGCGUGUGUGAAGAAGGCCUUCGGGUUGUAAAGCACUUUUGUCAGGAGCGAAAUCUGCAGGGCUAAUACCCAUGCAGCCUGACGGUACCUGAGGAAUAAGCACCGGCUAACUCCGUGCCAGCAGCCGCGGUAAUACGGAGGGUGCAAGCGUUAAUCGGAAUUACUGGGCGUAAAGCGUGCGUAGGCGGUUCGUUAAGUCUGUUGUGAAAGCCCCGGGCUCAACCUGGGAAUGGCAAUGGAUACUGGCGAGCUAGAGUGUGUCAGAGGAUGGUGGAAUUCCCGGUGUAGCGGUGAAAUGCGUAGAGAUCGGGAGGAACAUCAGUGGCGAAGGCGGCCAUCUGGGACAACACUGACGCUGAGGCACGAAAGCGUGGGGAGCAAACA